AACGAACGCUGGCGGCAGGCCUAACACAUGCAAGUCGAGCGAGGACUUCGGUCCUAGCGGCGGACGGGUGAGUAACGCGUGGGAACGUGCCCUUUGCUUCGGAAUAGCCCUGGGAAACUGGGAGUAAUACCGGAUGAGCCCUUUGGGGGAAAGAUUUAUCGGCGAAGGAUCAGCCCGCGUUGGAUUAGGUAGUUGGUGGGGUAAUGGCCUACCAAGCCGACGAUCCAUAGCUGGUUUGAGAGGAUGAUCAGCCACACUGGGACUGAGACACGGCCCAGACUCCUACGGGAGGCAGCAGUGGGGAAUCUUAGACAAUGGGGGAAACCCUGAUCUAGCCAUGCCGCGUGAGCGAUGAAGGCCUUAGGGUUGUAAAGCUCUUUCAGCUGGGAAGAUAAUGACGGUACCAGCAGAAGAAGCCCCGGCUAACUCCGUG
rnacentral:rRNA from 1 species